rnacentral:rRNA from 1 species
GGUGAAUGCGUAGAUAUAUGGAGGAACACCGGUGCGAAGCGGCUCUCUGGUCUGUAACUGACGCUGAGGCUCGAAAGCGUGGAGGCGACAGAGUAUAUACCUCGUAGUCACGCGUAACGAUGAGUGCUAGGUGUUGGUAGUCCUUUCCGGUACGUCUAGUGCCGCCAGCUAACGACAUUAAGUACACUCCGCCUGGGAGUACGACCGCAAGGUUGAAACUCAAAGGAUUAGACGGACCGCGACAGUAGCGGAGCAUGUGGUUAAUUCGUAAGCAACGCGAAGACCUUACUAACGCUUGCAAUCCAUAGUGUGGAGGCAAGGCACACAGGGAUAGG